UACGUAGGGUCCGAGCGUUGUCCGGAAUUACUGGGCGUAAAGAGCUCGUAGGUGGUUUGUCGCGUUGUUCGUGAAAACUCACAGCUCAACUGUGGGCGUGCGGGCGAUACGGGCAGACUAGAGUACUGCAGGGGAGACUGGAAUUCCUGGUGUAGCGGUGGAAUGCGCAGAUAUCAGGAAGAACACCCGUGGCGAAGGCGGCUCUCUGGAACGCAACUGGACGCUGAGACGCGAAAGCGUGGGGAGCAAACAGG
rnacentral:rRNA from 1 species